GGGGGGGGGGGGGGGGGGGGGGGGGGGGGGGGGGGGGGGGGGAGGGGCCCGGCUUGGGUGGGGGGGUCGAGGGGCGGGGGGGGGAGGAACACGUGAGGGACCUGCCCUUGACUGUGGGGGAACUUCAGGAAACUGGGGCGAAUACGGGAGAGGGGUUGCUGCGGCAGGGUGGGGGUUGGAAAGUUUCGGCGGUUGGGGAUGGACUCGCGGCUUAUCAGCUUGUUGGUGGGGUAGUGGCUUACCACGGCUUUGACGGGUAGCCGGCCUGAGAGGGUGACCGGCCACAUUGGGACUGAGAUACGGCCCAGACUCCUACGGGAGGCAGCAGUGGGGAAUAUUGCACAAUGGGCGGAAGCCUGAUGCAGCAACGCCGCGUGCGGGAUGACGGCCUUCGGGUUGUAAACCGCUUUCGCCUGUGACGAAGCGUGAGUGACGGUAAUGGGUAAAGAAGCACCGGCUAACUACGUG
rnacentral:rRNA from 1 species